AUGUACCUGUGCGUGGAUGGUGUUCAGCACCAAGGACAGGUGUGUUAACUUGCGUGUGGAUGGUGUUCUGCACCGGGGACAGGUGUAUGUACCU
rnacentral:pre_miRNA from 1 species